GAUGAACGCUGACAGAAUGCUUAACACAUGCAAGUCUUUGGCGAAGCUGUGCUUGCACAGCCUAGCCAAGGCGGACGGGUGAGUAACGCGUAAGGAACUUGCCCUGCAGUCAGGGAUAACAGACGGAAACGACUGAUAAGACCUGGUAAAGUCAGGCGGACUCAUGUCCAGCCUGAUGAAAAGAGAUGCUGCAGGAGAGCCUUGCGUCCUAUUAGCUUGUUGGUGGGGUAACGGCCCACCAAGGCGAUGAUAGGUAGCCGGCCUGAGAGGGUGGACGGCCACAAGGGGACUGAGAUACGGCCCUUACUCCUGCGGGAGGCAGCAGUGGGGAAUAUUGGACAAUGGGGGCAACCCUGAUCCAGCAAUUCUGUGUGCACGAUGAAGGUUUUCGGAUUGUAAAGUGCUUUCAGCAGGGAAGAAAAAAUGACGGUACCUGCAGAAGAAGCGACGGCUAAAUACGUG
rnacentral:rRNA from 1 species